AUUGAACGCUGGCGGCAAGCCUAACACAUGCAAGUCGAACGGUAACAGGCCGCUGUGAUCCCUUCGGGGUGAACUUGGCGCUGACGAGUGGCGAACGGGUGAGUAAUGCUUGGGAAUCUGCCUAGUAGUGGGGGACAACCCGGUGAAAACCGGGCUAAUACCGCAUACGUCCUACGGGAGAAAGUGGGGGAUCUUCGGACCUCACGCUAUUAGAUGAGCCCAAGUCGGAUUAGCUUGUUGGUAGGGUAAUGGCCUACCAAGGCGACGAUCCGUAGCUGGUCUGAGAGGACGAUCAGCCACACUGGGACUGAGACACGGCCCAG
rnacentral:rRNA from 1 species